UGCAUAUCAAUAAGCGGAGGAAAAGAAACCAACAGGGAUUGCCCCAGUAACGGCGAGUGAAGCGGCAACAGCUCAAAUUUGAAAUCUGGCCCCUAGGGUCCGAGUUGUAAUUUGUAGAGGAUGCUUUUGGUGAGGUGCCGCCCGAGUUCCCUGGAACGGGACGCCGCAGAGGGUGAGAGCCCCGUCUGGCUGGCCACCGAGCCUCUGUAAAGCUCCUUCGACGAGUCGAGUAGUUUGGGAAUGCUGCUCAAAAUGGGAGGUAUAUGUCUUCUAAAGCUAAAUAUUGGCCAGAGACCGAUAGCGCACAAGUAGAGUGAUCGAAAGAUGAAAAGCACCUUGAAAAGAGGGUUAAACAGUACGUGAAAUUGUUGAAAGGGAAGCGCUUGUGACCAGACUUGGGCGCGGCGGAUCAUCCGGGGUUCUCCCCGGUGCACUUCGCCGUGUUCAGGCCAGCAUCAGUUCGGCGCGGGGGAAAAAGGCUUCGGGAACGUGGCUCCUCCGGGAGUGUUAUAGCCCGUUGCAUAAUACCCUGCGCUGGACUGAGGACCGCGCAUCUGCAAGGAUGCUGGCGUAAUGGUCACCAGCGACCCGUCUUGAAACACGGACCA
rnacentral:rRNA from 1 species